UAAAUAUAAAAAGAUUUAGGUUUUUAUAUUAAAAGGGAAUAGUGUGUAAAUCACUAGCAGCCCCCGCUACUGUAAAUAUGGACGAGUCUUUAUAAAUCCACUAAAGAUUAUUCUUUGGGAAGGGAAAGAUUAGGAUGAAGUAUGAGCCAGGAGACCUGCCUAAAUUAUUAACUUUCGG
rnacentral:ncRNA from 12 species